UGGAAAUCUAACAGUUGAAAUUGUGAUUAUUACCUGGAAAAGCAGUUACUUUGGAAAAAUUCAAAGGAAGGAGGACAUUCCAGCCCUCCAUUUAGAGAUGGCUACAGAAAACAUGGGUUGCCUGGUGCAGAGUGUGGAGAAAGAGCUCUGGAAGUGUGUUAGAAAAUUAAGAUGAUCUCUAUUCCAUCCCAUCCACCACCUGCCAAUGUGUGACUCUGGGCACAUAGAAAAGAAGAAUUGGAAUGACUUGGAUUUUCUCAGCAGAAGCACUAGGUGCCAAAAAACCAUUAAGUAUUCCUCUUGAUUCUGAUGAAAACAGAUUUUCAACACAAAUUCUACACCCACCUAAGCCAUCAUUCCUGUGUGAGAGUGAUAAAAGACAUUUUCAGCUAAGCAAGAGCUCAGAAAAUUUGCCCCUGACCCGCUUCCACAUGGACCCUGUUUCUUAAGAAGGUGCUCCAGCAAAAUAAGGGAGAAAAUCAAGAAUGAGGAAGCCAUGGGCUGAAGGAAAUAGUGGAUCUAAUUCAAGAUAGCAAAGAAAGGACAUCUGGAUGACUGUUGCUUAGCAGGCUUAGAAAACAGCUAAUUUAGGCAGGAAGGCUUGAGGAAAAAUGGGGAAUUGUUAGAUUGUUUGAUAUGAGAGAGAACAUUUAAAAAAAUAACCUACUGCUAAAUGUGUAUGAGACCUAAUGCAGCAUUUGGAAAAGAAACUGUAUAGAGAAAAUUAUGCUAAUGGAGGAAAAAAGGGAAAUUACCAACUCCAAGAAAAAGAAAUUUUGUACAAGAAAGAAAAUGUAGUCACAGUACAAAUAUCUCAUAGUACCAGUGCUCCAGAAGUGAACAAUAUUUACCCAUCAUGCAAACACUGUUUGUUACCUGUGCUAACUAUGUGAUCUUAGAAUGGAGAGAGCAAAGAAUGUGGUGAAUAAGAGCUAAAUCUGCAUACGCCACAACAUGGAGUAAAAAGGCUGUAUCUCCUCUGCUUACUCGAGCUUCUUGCUGCCGAGGGUCAAUCAAGGGAUAUAGAAGAUGGUGUGACACCUUCCCAGCCAUCCCUAUCACACUGUAGUUUCUCUAGUGCAUCAACCCCCAUCUCACCCACGACGUGGCCUUUCUACUUUGGAAGAUGUGAAUUGUUAGAAUACCAACAGAAACGCACGUAGAAAAUGACUGAAAUUACUGGGUAUGAGUUAAUCUGGGUGACCCAAAAGAAAGAAAGAUGGGGGGAUGUGGGAGUAGAUAGGAUGGAUGUGGGCUAAGAUUCUUAAUGACAUGAUGU